GGCCGUGUGGCGAAAUGGCAUCGCGUCUGACUACGACUCUCAUACUUAUGAUUGUUAUCAGGAGAUUGCAGGUUCGACCCCUGUCUCGGUCA